rnacentral:rRNA from 1 species
AUAGGUGGGGCUACACACGUCAUACAAUGGCUGGUACAAAGGGUGCCAACCCGCGAGGGGGAGCUAAUCCCAUAAAGCCAGUCGUAGUCCGGAUCGCAGUCUGCAACUCGACUGCGUGAAGUCGGAAUCGCUAGUAAUCGUGGAUCAGCAUGUCACGGUGAAUACGUUCCCGGGUCUUGUACACACCGCCCGUCACACCAUGGGAGCGGGUUCUGCCAGAAGUAGUUAGCCUAACCGCAAGGAGGGCGAUUACCACGGCAGGGUUCGUGACUGGGUGAAGUCGUAACAAGGUAGCCGUAUCGGAAGGUGCGGCUGGAACACCUCCUU